CUUAACGACCACUACGACAACCAGAUUUAAAGUGCUUUCUCAUAUCGACAAACCUGAAUUUAACCCAGAGAGCAAAGCACUUUGCUCAAACCAACCCGAUUACGUGCUUCUACACAAAACGAGGCAUCGUUUGUCAUCAGUCACGUGAUUUCCUGAAAACGAUCAGUAUCAUUCGUAACGUCACUAUUCUAAGGCACUGGCUUCGAGGUCUAGGCAGUGGGAACCGCAGCUCUGAGCAGCGAAUCGCAAUACAGCAAACAUGGCAUCGAGUGACAAAGACCAGGCACCUUCCAACCUGCCCCAGGCCACCCUGCAGGAGCUCCUCCAAGUCCUGCACUCCCCCAGCUCCCCGCAGCAGCAGCAGCAGGUGCUCAACAUCCUGCGCUCCAACCCGCAGCUCAUGUCCGCCUUCAUCAAACACCAAGUGUAGCUAGCUCCACUGAAAGACGGCUCAAAGACCGUGUGUUGUUUGUGCAAUAAAAGUAGCGUUUAUUCCUGAAA